ACUGCUCAGUAACACGUAGUCAACCUAACUCGUGGACGUGGAUAACCUCGGGAAACUGAGAAUAAACCACGAUAGAUCAUAGUGCCUGGAAUGGCUUAUGGUCCAAACAGUUUACUGCCAUGGGAUGGGACUGCGGCCUAUCAGCUUGUUGGUGAGGUAAUGGCCCACCAAGGCGAUUACAGGUACGGGCUCUGAGAGGAGAAGCCCGGAGAUGGGUACUGAGACACGGACCCAGGCCCUAUGGGGCGCAGCAGGCGAGAAACCUUAGCAAUGUGCGAAAGCACGACUGGGUCAGUCCGAGUGAUUCCUGAUAAAGGAGUCUUUUGCUUGUCCUAAAAGCACAGGUGAAUAAGGGGUGGGCAAGUCUGGUGUCAGCCGCCGCGGUAAUACCAGCACCUCGAGUGGUCAGGACGUUUAUUGGGCCUAAAGCAUCCGUAGCCGGCUCUGCAAGUCUUCGGUUAAAUCCACCUGCUCAACAGAUGGGCUGCUGGAGAUACUACAGAGCUAGGGAGUGGGAGAGGCAGACGGUAUUCAGUGGGUAGGGGUAAAAUCCUCUGAUCCAUUGAGGACCACCAGUGGCGAAGGCGGUCUGCCAGAACACGUUCGACGGUGAGGGAUGAAAGCUGGGGGAGCAAACCGGAUUAGAUACCCGGGUAGUCCCAGCUGUAAACGAUGCAAACUCGGUGAUGCAUUGGCUUAUGGCCAAUGCAGUGCCGCAGGGAAGCCGUUAAGUUUGCCGCCUGGGAAGUACGGACGCAAGUCUGAAACUUAAAGGAAUUGGCGGGGGAGCAC
rnacentral:rRNA from 1 species